GGAUACGACCACCCCCCCCCUCGAAGUUUCCAUUCUUGUCCAUCACAAACACAAGAACCUCGGAGAGCAGCUCCAGUGGAAGGUCCGGGCAGAUGACAACUUCAGAACACCACAAUGAGGAGAUGACGGCAGCAGUGAAAGAUGUGGAACCAAAUUGGAGUUUCCACCAAGUUAGAAGAGCUUGCAGUCGAGCUAUUGACAGUCUCAAGUGCAAAGAGAGAAUGGAGAUAGAAGCAAGGAGGAGGUCAAAAGGAGGACCAGUCAGCAUGAUCAGCUCUUCAAAAAGAGGGUCAAAAUUGCUGAGAAGAUUCUCAAUCAA